AAAAAGGGCUUCUGCCGUGCGUGGCACGGGGGGGCCUCGCGCCGCCCCCGCGGAAUCGACAUCAAGAGAUUUCGGAAGCACAAUUUUUGUGAGGUGGGGUCGCCGGUAACCGCCCGUUCCGGCGCCCCG